UUUUUUUUUUUGGAUACAUCGGAAAUUUGAUUAUUGAUGAUGUAUGAAUAUUGAAAAUGAGCAAACUAACACUCUUGUCCAGAAAGAAUUUAAAAUCAGAGCAAGUUUACCUGAACCGAAGGGACGAUUAGUCAGUGGAUAUCACCUUCUUAGCAACAUCAGCAAAUCAAAUGCAGAGAACUAGAUUGGAUGGUUCUGUGCCCCCCAAGUUGUGCAUUUAAUUUAUAGUGAAGACUAGAACUCUGUGGCUG
rnacentral:misc_RNA from 1 species